GGCGGCGGCGGCGCGCACGGCCGCGCUGGGGGCGGCUCGGUGAGGAGGAGGAGGAGGGCCGGGCCCCUCAGUGAGGAGAGAUGAUGAAGGAGCUCCCCACUCCAGGAACAUCCCCACAGUGGCGUCGUCUUCAAGGAGGUGCAGACCCAAAAUCGUCCAGAGAGCUCUUGCCGUCGCCCAGCAGGACGUACCCGGCGGGGCAGGAGCAGCGGAAGGAGCCGGGAAUGUUGACACAGGCGUGGGCGCAGAGCCGGG